rnacentral:rRNA from 1 species
GCGAGCGAACGGGGAGCAGCCCAGAGCCUGAAUCAGUGUGUGUGUUAGUGGAAGCGUCUGGAAAGGCGUGCGAUACAGGGUGACAGCCCCGUACACAAAAAUGCACAUGCUGUGAGCUCGAUGAGUAGGGCGGGACACGUGGUAUCCUGUCUGAAUAUGGGGGGACCAUCCUCCAAGGCUAAAUACUCCUGACUGACCGAUAGUGAACCAGUACCGUGAGGGAAAGGCGAAAAGAACCCCGGCGAGGGGAGUGAAAAAGAACCUGAAACCGUGUACGUACAAGCAGUGGGAGCCUCUUUAUGGGGUGACUGCGUACCUUUUGUAUAAUGGGUCAGCGACUUAUAUUCUGUAGCAAGGUUAACCGAAUAGGGGAGCCGAAGGGAAACCGAGUCUUAACUGGGCGUUAAGUUGCAGGGUAUAGACCCGAAACCCGGUGAUCUAGCCAUGGGCAGGUUGAAGGUUGGGUAACACUAACUGGAGGACCGAACCGACUAAUGUUGAAAAAUUAGCGGAUGACUUGUGGCUGGGGGUGAAAGGCCAAUCAAACCGGGAGAUAGCUGGUUCUCCCCGAAAGCUAUUUAGGUAGCGCCUCGUGAAUUCAUCUCCGGGGGUAGAGCACUGUUUCGGCAAGGGGGUCAUCCCGACUUACCAACCCGAUGCAAACUGCGAAUACCGGAGAAUGUUAUCACGGGAGACACACGGCGGGUGCUAACGUCCGUCGUGAAGAGGGAAACAACCCAGACCGCCAGCUAAGGUCCCAAAGUCAUGGUUAAGUGGGAAACGAUGUGGGAAGGCCCAGACAGCCAGGAUGUUGGCUUAGAAGCAGCCAUCAUUUAAAGAAAGCGUAAUAGCUCACUGGUCGAGUCGGCCUGCGCGGAAGAUGUAACGGGGCUAAACCAUGCACCGAAGCUGCGGCAGCGACACUAUGUGUUGUUGGGUAGGGGAGCG